rnacentral:rRNA from 1 species
UACGGAGGAUCCAAGCGUUAUCCGGAUUUAUUGGGUUUAAAGGGUGCGUAGGCGGCCUAUUAAGUCAGGGGUGAAAGACGGUAGCUUAACUAUCGCAGUGCCUUUGAUACUGAUAGGCUUGAAUGAACUAGAGGUAGGCGGAAUGUGACAAGUAGCGGUGAAAUGCAUAGAUAUGUCACAGAACACCAAUUGCGAAGGCAGCUUACUAUGGUUUUAUUGACGCUGAGGCACGAAAGCGUGGGGAUCAAACAGGAUUAGAUACCCUGGUAGUCCACGCCCUAAACGAUGAACACUCGAUGUUAGCGAUAUACAGUUAGCGUCUAAGCGAAAGCGUUAAGUGUUCCACCUGGGGAGUACGCCCGCAAGGGUGAAACUCAAAG